UCUCGCGAUUACAACUUUGUUCCCUUCCACUGCUCUCCAUUUCUUUUAUUAUGUUUUCACGAUGGCUUCACCCAGUCAAAGAUUUUUAGGGGUUCUGUUUGACCCGCGAUUUAUAAAAAAAAAUUCAAAAUCGUAGCUCGAUCUGCCAUCGCCACUGCAAUCAAAACUCCUUAUUAUAUUUCUUCCAGGUUCAAUUUAUGGAUCGAUAUUGUUUUGCCAAUGAUUUAUAGCACAUUCCGAUAACGGUGGAGGAACAGUUGUUUUUGAAAGCGGUUAGGGAAGAAUGCCCGUGGGAGAAUUUGCCCAAACGGCUUCAAGCCAUUUAUAACUUCAAAGAAUAAUGGCACAAGAGGCUGGUGUGUUCCCAAAAUCAUUAAAGAGUUAUGUUCAAAGGGCAUUGGCUCUAUGUAAGGAUGAAAAGCAAUCAGCAGCUUGCCAGGAAAUCAUGAAGGAGGUGAGGAUUUUCUUUUAAAUAAAAUUUUGGCAGCUGUUAUUCAGGAUUAUGUGCAUAAUGAAUUGUUUUCUUUCUUCUCUCUGGUUUUUUAAAAGUUCUAUUCAUGCCAUGUUCAUCAAGCAUUCAUUAAGAGUUUGGGUUAAUGAAUUCUUAAUAUGCUUGUAACUAAAAGUUGUUUAAAUGAAGAAUAUAAGUGUUUCACUACAGAAAUUUCAUCUUUACAAAUUGACAGAGCAAGGAGGCUAGCUCGAAACUUAGGAUAGCCUUUAGCCACUGAGCCGACCUUGUCUUGUUGAUUGUCUGCAUUUAAAAGAGGGUACUUGGUCCACUAGAAAGGAAGAUUGAGAACAAUGAUUCAUGUGCCUAGCUUUAUGGACUGAUUUUUGACAACUUUUUGACUUCCUACGUGUAUGCUAUUAUGUUCCUACGUGUAUGCUAUUAUGUUUCUUUAUAAGGGAGGCUAUGGAAAAGGUUUUUCUGUGGUAGGAUUUGGCUUUAAAGUCAUCGAGAUUAAUUGGUGGUUAGCAAGAGUUUUGAAGAUGGUGGCAACAGGGCUGUUGAGAAAUUAGGCAGCAGAAACAGUCAUUUCAGACUUGGUUAACUCAAAAUCAUUAAUGAAGCCUUAUUAGAUUUGAUGAGCUAAAAUGGUUAGACUUCAACUGGUAUUCUUUCCUGCGCCCUUUAUCAGGCAGCAGUUGAGGAAGGUAUUGUCGGUGGUGGAUGUACUUCGCUAAGACUUGCUUCUAAGGUGGAUGCUAUCAAGGAUUCACUUGAUAAUGACGAAGAAAAGGUGGUCAGAUGUUGCUUGGAGCAUGCAACAUCAGUGGCCAAGACAGUCUUGAUGUCCGAUUGUGUGGUUGUGGAAAUAAAGUGCCUGCUGGGAACCCCAUGGAUGAUUAGUAAUGGAACACUUUUUUGUUCUUUAUAUUUUGCAUGCUAAUAUGUUGGGUUCGUUGAUUAUGUCAGGAUACGGCUACUAAAGCAGAUGUUGAAGGGAAACCAAAUAAGGUAUCAAAUCUCCACCGUAGCAACGAUGAACCUGUUUAGAGUAGAAUGCUUAUUUUCGUUGUUGAUUAAUUAUUGAAAAAUCCUUAAGAUCCCGGUGAUAUAUAAGAUUUGCAUUUUGCAGUUCAGUGUAACAAUUUUGAACAUCGUUUUUCAGUGAAAGGAAGAAAGUUGGUAUUUA